CACGCCGUAAACGGUGGGUACUAGGUGUGGGUUCCAUUUCACGGGAUCCGUGCCGUAGCUAACGCAUUAAGUACCCCGCCUGGGGAGUACGGCCGCAAGGCUAAAACUCAAAGGAAUUGACGGGGGCCCGCACAAGCGGCGGAGCAUGUGGAUUAAUUCGAUGCAACGCGAAGAACCUUACCUGGGUUUGACAUACACCAGACGUGUCCAGAGAUGGGCAUUCCCUUGUGGUUGGUGUACAGGUGG
rnacentral:rRNA from 1 species